UACGUAGGGGGCAAGCGUUGUCCGGAAUCAUUGGGCGUAAAGAGCGUGUAGGCGGCUCGGUAAGUCCGCUGUAAAAGUCCAGGGCUCAACCCUGGAAAGCCGGUGGAAACUGUCGAGCUAGAGUCCGGAAGAGGCGAGUGGAAUUCCUGGUGUAGCGGUGAAAUGCGCAGAUAUCAGGAGGAACACCAAUGGCGAAGGCAGCUCGCUGGGACGGUACUGACACUGAGAAGCGAAAGCAUGGGGAGCGAACAGG
rnacentral:rRNA from 1 species